GAUGAACGCUGGCGGCGUGCCUAAUACAUGCAAGUCGAGCGAACAGACGAGGAGCUUGCUCCUCUGACGUUAGCGGCGGACGGGUGAGUAACACGUGGAUAACCUACCUAUAAGACUGGGAUAACUUCGGGAAACCGGAGCUAAUACCGGAUAAUAUAUUGAACCGCAUGGUUCAAUAGAGAAAGACGGUUUUGCUGUCACUUAUAGAUGGAUCCGCGCCGCAUUAGCUAGUUGGUAAGGUAACGGCUUACCAAGGCAACGAUGCGUAGCCGACCUGAGAGGGUGAUCGGCCACACUGGAACUGAGACACGGUCCAGACUCCUACGGGAGGCAGCAGUAGGGAAUCUUCCGCAAUGGGGGAAAGCCUGACGUAGCAACGCCGCGUGAGUGAUGAAGGUCUUCGGAUCGUAAAACUCUGUUAUUAGGGAAGAACAAAUGUGUAAGUACCUAUGCACGUCUUGACGGUACCUAAUCAGAAAGCUACGGCUAACUACGUG
rnacentral:rRNA from 1 species